rnacentral:rRNA from 1 species
CACUCCUGCGGGAGGCAGCAGUGGGGAAUAUUGGACAAUGGGCGCAAGCCUGAUCCAGCCAUGCCGCGUGAGUGAUGAAGGCCCUAGGGUUGUAAAGCUCUUUCACCGGUGAAGAUAAUGACGGUAACCGGAGAAGAAGCCCCGGCUAACUUCGUGCCAGCAGCCGCGGUAAUACGAAGGGGGCUAGCGUUGUUCGGAUUUACUGGGCGUAAAGCGCACGUAGGCGGACUAUUAAGUCAGGGGUGAAAUCCCGGGGCUCAACCCCGGAACUGCCUUUGAUACUGGUAGUCUUGAGUUCGAGAGAGGUGAGUGGAAUUCCGAGUGUAGAGGUGAAAUUCGUAGAUAUUCGGAGGAACACCAGUGGCGAAGGCGGCUCACUGGCUCGAUACUGACGCUGAGGUGCGAAAGCGUGGGGAGCAAACAGGAUUAGAUACCCUUGUAGUCCCAUGAU